GGAGAUCGGACUCCGAUCGAACUCCUGUAGCGGAUAGAUUCCAGAUGAAUUCCUACGACACACGGAUUCCAGCAGUCGGACCCCUCCAGCGGAUGAACCUCUCCAGCGCCAUCCGACACCCACUGAUCGAUCGACGCUCUGUCGAAUUCUGCGUAAAAUCGAACUUCGUCUGCGGAAAGCCUCUGACUGAGCUCCUACAGCGAAUGGCCCUCGCCUGUAGUAUUAACGCCCAACAGCACCCAACGGUAGAAGGCUCACCAGCAACAUCCGAGCUCCUCUCAGAUGGAUAGCUGCCUCUUUCAGCCAGACGCUUCAACCGAGCUUCGGCCGACAGGUCUGGACUCCCUGACAGGCCACAGUGAUGGCCACAAUUCUACUCCACUUCCUGCGACGAAUACCGCGCAGCUUCACCACUCCC
rnacentral:lncRNA from 1 species